rnacentral:rRNA from 1 species
AACGAACGCUGGCGGCAGGCCUAACACAUGCAAGUCGAGCGAGGACUUCGGUUCUAGCGGCGGACGGGUGAGUAACGCGUGGGAAUGUGCCCUUCUCUACGGAAUAGCCCUGGGAAACUGGGAGUAAUACCGUAUACGCCCUUUUGGGGAAAGAUUUAUCGGAGAAGGAUCAGCCCGCGUUGGAUUAGGUAGUUGGUGGGGUAAUGGCCUACCAAGCCGACGAUCCAUAGCUGGUUUGAGAGGAUGAUCAGCCACACUGGGACUGGGACACGGCCCAGACUCCUACGGGAGGCAGCAGUGGGGAAUCUUAGACAAUGGGGGCAACCCUGAUCUAGCCAUGCCGCGUGAGUGAUGAAGGCCUUAGGGUUGUAAAGCUCUUUCAGCUGGGAAGAUAAUGACGGUACCAGCAGAAGAAGCCCCGGCUAACUCCGUG